UACGUAGGGGGCAAGCGUUGUCCGGAUUUAUUGGGCGUAAAGAGCGUGUAGGCGCCAGAUAGGUCAGCUGUGAAAACUCGAGGCUCAACCUCGAGAUGUCGGCUGAAACCAUCUGGCUAGAGUCCGGAAGAGGAGAAUGGAAUUCCAGGUGUAGCGGUGAAAUGCGUAGAUAUCUGGAGGAACACCGGUGGCGAAGGCGCAUCCUGGACCGGCAUUGACGCUGAGGCGCGAAAGCCAGGGGAGCAAAGCGGG
rnacentral:rRNA from 1 species